AUUGAACGCUGGCGGCAGGCUUAACACAUGCAAGUCGAGCGGGGGAAGGUAGCUUGCUACCGGACCUAGCGGCGGACGGGUGAGUAAUGCUUAGGAAUCUGCCUAUUAGUGGGGGACAACAUCUCGAAAGGGAUGCUAAUACCGCAUACGCCCUACGGGGGAAAGGGGGGGAUCGUCGGAACUCUCGCUAUCAGAUGAGCCCAUGCCGGAUUAGCCAGUUGGGGGGGAAAGGGCCCACCAAGGCGACGAUCCGUAGCUGCUCUGAGAGGAUGAUCAGCCACACUGGAACUGAGACACGGUCCAGACUCCUACGGGAGGCAACAGUGGGGAAUAUUGGACAAUGGGGGCAACCCUGAUCCCGCCAUGCCGCGUGUGUGAAGAAGGCCUUAGGGUUGUAAAGCACUUUCAGUGGGGAGAAAGGUGAUUCACCUAAUACGUGAGUCAAUUGAUGCUACCCACAGAAGAAGCACCGGCUAACUCCGUGCCAGCAGCCGCCGUAA
rnacentral:rRNA from 1 species